UUUAGUUUCAGUUUUGUGAUGGAGUGAAAAGACCCAGGAAUCAAACAGGAUAACUACCAUCUGAAAGCCUUUGAUUUCUGCUGGAUAAUUCAGUGUUUACAGCAGAUGGUUUCUUCUUUGAAGAAAUGUGUUAUUAGCAGAACAUGAGAUGAAAAGGUGCAUGGGGAAGCAGACAGAAAAAAAAAUUAUGGCACCAAAAAAGUCAAGCAUGUUGAUCUGUGAAUGAAAACUUCCUUCUCCCCACCUCCCCCACAACAAAAUUCAAAAUAUAUUGGCUCUGGAACAGUAUUGGGUCUCUUGAUGCCUGUACAGCUGAAGACCAGGCAUGUCAUAAAGCCACUAUCCUUCCAGCCAAGGAAGACCAGAUGGGAGUUCCUUCAGAACCAUCAGUGUCUCACCUAAUUAGCUAGAAACAUUGUCUUUCAGUUAUAUGAAGAUCAGGGUCUAGUUGUCCAGUUCCUGUCACUUUUAUUGAACAGCCUGGUUCAGGAACUGAAAUAGAGCAAAGUUGUAGAGCAAAUUUAUCCAUUUAACAUUCACAAUGGUUGACCGGUACAAUGCAAAACCAUCGCAGCAGAGUUGCUCUCUGGGAGUCCUGUGGAAUCCUCUCCCAUGAAUAUAGAAAUUGAUUUUCUAUCUGCAUUUGUGGAAGCCUGAAGGGAGACAUUUUUCUCACGAUUAUACUGUCAACUGCUUUCUGUAAAUAUGAUAGGCUGUAGUGUUCACCAAUAUAUAGUUCCAGUAAGAAUAGGUACAAAUUCUAAAAAAAAUUACCCUGUAUAUUAAGCAAAGAAGAUCUACUUGUACCGCCUUUAGUAAUCCAGAUAAAGAUUUUCAAUAGUCUUGUCCAAAACCACAGCUGGAAUAAUAUUUAGGGCAGAAUUGUCAUACUGUGUACAUGGCCUUCGCUGUAAAGACCUUUAAUUUCAGUAUCAUUGUUUUACUUAACCCCUCAGUUCCUCUGCAAGGGGCCAUUAUCAUCUCUUUCUUGCAUUAGUGUUCUUUUGGUGCUGUGGAUAAGACAAUCAAAAUGAGGCC